rnacentral:rRNA from 1 species
GACGAACGCUGGCGGCGUGCUUAACACAUGCAAGUCGAGCGGUAAGGCCCUUUCGGGGGUACACGAGCGGCGAACGGGUGAGUAACACGUGGGUGACCUGCCCUCAGCUCUGGGAUAAGCCUGGGAAACCGGGUCUAAUACUGGAUAUGACUCCAUGACGCAUGUUGUGGGGUGGAAAGCCUUGUGCGGCUGAGGAUGGGCCCGCGGCCUAUCAGCUUGUUGAUGGGGGGAUGGCCUACCAAGGCGACGACGGGUAGCCGGCCUGAGAGGGCGACCGGCCACACUGGGACUGAGACACGGCCCAGACUCCUACGGGAGGCAGCAGUGGGGAAUCUUGCGCAAUGGGCGAAAGCCUGACGCAGCGACGCCGCGUGAGGGAUGACGGCCUGG